rnacentral:rRNA from 1 species
ACACCGGCAGCCCGAGUGGUGACCGCUAUUAUUGGGCCUAAAGCGUCCGUAGCCGGGUGGGUAAGUCCCUGUGGAAAUCCUCAGGCUUAACCUGAGGAAGUGCGGGGAUACUGCCCGCCUUGGGGCCGGGAGACGCGGAGGGUACUCCAGGGGUAGCGGUGAAAUGCUGUAAUCCCUGGGGGACCACCAGUGGCGAAGGCGCUCCGCGAGAACGGGCCCGACGGUGAGGGACGAAAGCCAGGGGAGCGAACGGGAUUAGAAACCCUAGUAGUCC